CACCUCCUCUCUUUGGAAUAUUCCUGAGACAGAAAUAAACAGGAGGGUCAGAGCCCCUGCACUCUCACAUCUCUUCCUGACGGUGGCUGUCGUAUUUGUCUCUGGCUCAAUAACAAAUUACCCCUCAAACUCAGUGGCUUAGAACAGCAAACACUGGGUGUUUCCCAGUUCCUGUGGGUCAGGAAUUCAGGAGCAGCUGAACUGUGUGGUUUUGCCUCAGGGUCUCCCAAGAGUCUGCAGCCAGGACUUGGGCAAAGGCACAAUAUCCGUUCACACAGCUGCUAGAGAGACCUCCGUUCCCUGCUGUGGGACGUCUCCACAGGACAAUCUCGAGCUGCAAUGCUCCCUCUUUCAGAGCGAGCAAAGAAACGUGAGAGCCCGCCACCUAAGACCGCGUCCUUGCCCUCUGGACAGAAAUGGGACCACUCCCUCGAACUGGCUUUCUCAAAGAGCCAGAGAAAUGCUAAACAGUAACCGAUCUGGAGGACGAAAACAAGGUGGCACGAAUUGUUCACCUUCCUCCAGGUCCCGAGCGGAGGAGGCUGGCUCGGGGCUGCUCGGGCCAGCGCGCCCCCCGAUCUUCUCCGGACUGAAGGUGAAGGGGAGGCGCCCAAGCCUCAGAGAUGCUCUCCACACUCGGAUGGGGCGGGUCUGCAAGCAAUGCCAGGGGCCGGAGGAAGGCUCCCAUUGGCUGAGGGCCGGUG
ensembl:lncRNA